UUCUUCGUUGGUCAUUUCAUUUGCUCCCAACCCUGUUUAUGGUGAUUGCCUUCAUUAUUUGGGGUUUCAUUGAUGGUGCCCUAAAUGAAGUGAUCAGUUGCUCAGCUCUUAAUUUACUACGACCUCUUCUGCUGAUUGUAACUGUUCCACAAGAAGUUACAGACUCCAGGAAUCAAGCUCCAAGCACUGGGAUAAAGCAUGCCAUCUUUUCUGUGUUUUUUUAUUCAGUUCUGCUUCAUAAUGCAUGGGAGAGACGGACAUUUUACCAUCAAAAUGAUGUUGCCAUUGGUGUCAUUAUGUUUAUUUUGGCAUUUAUAUGGCUUAUCACCAUCUGUUAUGGAGGUAAGAUACACUGUUGGUCUAUUAAAAAGACUGCAUUUAGUUUAUUACUGUUAGGUUGCAAAGAAAGAGAGAAAACAGCGACUCUUGAUUCAUACAUGAAUCCUCUGUGUCUUAUGUUCACUGAGUAAACCAAACCUAGUUUCAUAUAUUAAUUAUACAACAGAAUACAAAUUGCUGAGUAUUUAAGGUCAACAUUGCAGAUUGCACAUUGGCAAUAUAAAAGAGAAAGCUUCAUGUGGACAAGGUUCUCCUUACAAGAAGGUAUCCAUGAUAUUGUCUUUAAAUGUAAAACUAAAUUGAACUUUAAAAAAUAGCUCCUUGUCACACCAAGCAUCUCACCUUCUGAAUAAAGUUAUAUGAAAUUAUAUACAUU
rnacentral:lncRNA from 1 species